rnacentral:lncRNA from 1 species
UCACAGUCGUAGAUACAAUUUUACAAUCUUGUGUAUAUCCUUCAUUCCAAUUUCGCUUAAAUAAAUCUUGAGAUAUUGUUGCCGCUGAUCAUCAUCAAUUAAAUAUCAUUAAAUCCAACAAAACGCGUAAGUAUAGAUAAAUUUAUCACCCACCCACACACAGUAUAUCAAUGAUAUAAAUAAAUCUAUGAUACAUAACUUUAUACAAUAAAUGAUCAAAUAAUUGAUCCGGACAAUAAAUAUUUGUAUUUAUAAAUACUAAUAUUAGUUAUUUUUCAGGAUUUAACGAUGUGAAAAGCCGCUGUGCCACUUUUAAUUUGACCUGUCUUGACUCAACGGUAUAUUACACAUGAUUAUGUAUUUAUUUAGUUGUUUCUUGCUCGUAAGUACAAAAGAGUAAUUUUCUAUCACUGUUACACAGCGUAACUCGUAUAUAUCCUAAGUAGUUAUAGUUACAUGAUCCAUACUGGUUAAAAAGUGCGUAGUCUAGUCUACAGCCGUUCGUUAUGACAAUUGUCUCAAUACACUUACAUUUUGUUACGUAAAUAAAAAUCAUACUAUCUCUGUUAUUUUUUCUGUUUGUUCUAGCUGUUUCAACCAAUCAUAACUAUCCACCAGAGUCAACGUAUCUACAUGGAUAAAGUAAAAAACGAGAUUUUUAUUCAAUAAUUCGCGCAAUAAAGAUAAGUAUCCAAGUCACUUGACGUUAAUGAGUUAAUCAGUGACGUACUUUAUUAACUUCCCGUACUACCAAUUAAACAGCUGCCGUCUAUAAUAAUGGAAGCAAGUGUCAUUAUCAUCAUUAUCAUAAUUAUUAUUAUUGUUGUUAGAUAAAUAUAUAAGUAUAUCAAUAGAAUAGAACAAUUAAUACCAACUCACUGGAACAGAUAUUUUCCCGUUUAUGUACAGCCAAGUAAUCAACAAGAAAAUGGGUGGAUAAAUAUUUAUUUAUAUACAUAUAUUAUUAUAAAUUAUAAUAUAAGGAGUUGGCCUCCUUAAGCCUUAUAUACUCAGUAAAUAUAAAGCAACAGCAAGAUCAUUCAGCUACCGAAAUUGUCGUUAAUACGUCAGUCCAGUUAGAUCGUCGUGAUAGAGAGUUAAGUAUUUUUUUUUUUUUUUUAUCUAAUAAGUAACAGAGGAAGCGAGAUAUAUAAAUUAUCUAUGACGUUAUAGCUUUUCAGUAUGUAACUAUUUAACUAUUUCAAUUUAGUUAAGACAAGACAAGACGAGAUUACUGAUAUGGUUCAUUCAAGUCUUCCCGCUAUGGUGCUUUUGGUGUGUGUACGUUGUCACUAGCUGAAUGGAGAUCAGAUGAGUCAAUUGCGUCUAAAACUCUGUACCUACUAUCUGCUACUGAAUCAGAACAUUUUUAAGUGACUGGUGUGGGCGUGGGGUCCAGUCAUUACGCCGUGGAGAUUGUCAGUUGUAAAUAUACCAAAGAGUUACGGCGGGGAUAAAUCGAUGUUUACCAGUGUGCUGGAGUGACUGACUAACUUACUGACAACCCAAGUUUGAGUUACUGACUAACCAGUAAACCAAGUCAACUCGUACCACCGAGCCACCGAGUAUCCAAGAGAGGCAUUUAAUCAUUACUUAAUGUGCAUCACAAAAACUCGUUCACCAUUUGUUUCAGCUAUGCAAUUCACGUUUAUAGAAGAUCUAUUUCUGGUUCAGUCUUCACCUCCCUUAUUCAGCUGCCAGAGAGAAGAACUUGAGAAAAGUUUGCGGUGGUAUUGGAACAUGAAGAGAUGAUUGAUCGACAUCAGCAAGUUUUUCUUGAAAUGCUGGAUC